rnacentral:lncRNA from 1 species
CCAACCUCAGAGCUUGGAUGUCAGACUUUUGCAAAGUGGACUAAAUCCACAUGCUUAAGGGUAAGGAGCAUUUCUGAAUGAAGCUGAAAAAUGUCAAGACUGGCACAGGAACCAGAGAAAUGCUGACUAUGUAUGAUACUUCCAGUGGGCAGGCUCAUGAUACAGUGAUCACUGAGAAGUGACAUGCUGUAUAUUCCCUCAGAUGUUUAAAUGGAACAUGAAAGAGAAAAACAGCAGCCUAUUCCAUCUUUCAGAAACUCUACCAUCCACUGAAACCAGGACCACAGAGAAGGGAUUCCACAAAAGGUUAUGGAAGUAUGAAGGAUUCUGGGAAGCCUCACUGGGACUCAGUACAAGAUGUCAUAUUUGAACAUUAUUUUCCGCCAUGAGCAAAGGAAAAGUGUGGUACAUGAUUCUUUCAGCAAGAAAUUAUCUGGAAGAACUAUUCAACUGUAGCCAACUACACUUAGGUCUUGGCAAUUCCAUAAGCACCACUUUGAUGUGAAGAGGUGUUUCCUGGAAGAAAGGUGUAUUUGUUUCUCUGAAGGAACAAAGACCUAUUGACAAUGUGCUAUGUGGCCCUGCUUAUUUUUUCUUAUAAUAAAACACUGCAGCAAACACA